AUUGAACGCUGGCGGCAGGCCUAACACAUGCAAGUCGAGCGGAUGAAGGGAGCUUGCUCCUGGAUUCAGCGGCGGACGGGUGAGUAAUGCCUAGGAAUCUGCCUGGUAGUGGGGGAUAACGUCCGGAAACGGGCGCUAAUACCGCAUACGUCCUGAGGGAGAAAGUGGGGGAUCUUCGGACCUCACGCUAUCAGAUGAGCCUAGGUCGGAUUAGCUAGUUGGUGGGGUAAAGGCCUACCAAGGCGACGAUCCGUAACUGGUCUGAGAGGAUGAUCAGUCACAGGGGAAUGGAGACAGGGCCAGGCCUCCGAGGGGGGGCGGGGGGGGGAAAUAUGGAAGAAGGGGGGAAAGCUUGACCAAGCCAGGCGGGGGGGGGGAAGAAGGUUUUGGGUUUGAAAAGCCUUUUAGGUGGGGGGAAAGGAAAGUAAGUUAAUACCUUGUUGUUUGGACGUUACAAAAAAAAAAAGCCCCGGCUAACUUCGUG
rnacentral:rRNA from 1 species